AGGCGGGUGCAGCCCCGGCCCCAAGUUCUGCACCAUGGGAGGCUCCCACUCGCAGACCCCGAGGGGCCGGGAACCCGCUGGGGAGAGGCACCCGAGACCCACGGAGACCGCGAGUGGCUGUAAGGUGAAGAAGCAUGAAACUCAGUCUCUCGCCCUGGGUGCAUGUUCUCAGGAUGAAGGGGCAGUGAUCUCCCAGAUUUCAGACAUUUCUAAUAGGGAUGGCCAUGCUACUGAUGAGGAGAAACUGGCAUCCACGUCAUGUGGUCAGAAAUCAGCUGGGGCCGAGGUGAAAGGCAUAGAGAAGGAGACGUGCCAGAAGAUGGAAGAAGACGGGUCCACUGUGCUUGGGCUGCUGGAGUCGUCUGCAGAGAAGGCCCCUGUGUCGGUGUCCUGUGGAGGUGAGAGCCCCCUGGAUGGGAUCUGCCUCAGCGAAUCAGACAAGACAGCCGUGCUCACCUUAAUAAGAGAAGAGAUAAUCACUAAAGAGAUUGAAGCAAAUGAAUGGAAGAAGAAAUAUGAAGAGACCCGGCAAGAAGUUUUGGAGAUGAGGAAAAUUGUAGCUGAAUAUGAAAAGACUAUUGCUCAAAUGAUUGGUAAGGAGAACAUUUUGUUUUUUGAGGGUAUGAGCUAUAGGAUCUGUCUUAGUCUGUUCAGCCUGGUAUAACAAAGUACUGUAAGCUAGCUUAUAAACAACAAACAUUUUUCAUAGCUCUGGAGACAGGAGAGUUCAAGGCACUCACAGAUGAGAUGUCUGGGGAGGGCCCAUUCCUCAUAGAAAGGGCUGGCUAGCUCUCUGGGGUCUCUUUUAUAAGGACACUAAUCCUGACAUAAUCACCUCCCAAAGUCCCUUCCGUGCCCACUUUCACGCUGAACAUACUCACACAUUGGGGAUUAGGUUUCAAUACACAAAUCUGGGGUUGGGAGGUGGCAUAAACUAUAAG
rnacentral:sRNA from 1 species